AGAAAUCGAAGUGCAAUACGACCUGUAUGAGGCUCUACAAGGUCGAGAAGAGAGCCUCGUCGGAGACGAAAUCGCUCUUCCCCACUUUUUCUGGGCUCUACUUUGUCUGGCCAUAUCUUCCUCUACAGGCCUCCGAUCGACCUGAUUCCAAAAGCAAUUUUUCUCACCGUGAAGUUUUCUACAACUUUCCAGAAGACAUCGACUUGAGAUAACCAUCGUGGUGGCCGCUAGAAGACCGAGAAGCCGCACAGCCGAGCUGGAAAUCGUCUUCCUUCGCCACCUUGGUUCUCCCAGCUCCGGCCACUAUAGCUCGAGUUCUUUGAGGGCUUUUCUAGCCCAGAGGAAGUAGAAGCUAUCCCCAAGAAGGCUUGCAGCGAUUUGAUCCGGGGUGAUCGAAUUUUGAAGAUUGGGAAACUAGGGUUCUUCGGGUUUCAAAACUUGCGAGGUGAUUGACGGUCUCCCUUGGGUGAACGAUUUCGGUGUGUAUUGUGUUGAAUUGAAGACGCAGCGGGAAUAUCGAGCGGGUAAUCCUGCAGGUCAGGAGAAUCAGGGCGGUGAUCGAGCGGGUUAGAGUAUUUGUUAUAGUUUUACAGCAUUUGUAAUAGUGAGGUGAGUUAAGCUCAUUGAGCCUUACAAUUUGAUUUGGUGAGAGUGUGUUGUAAUAAUUAACUUGAGGAUUUGAUUUAUUGUAAUAUUGAGAGGUGUGAAGUGUGGUUGUUUGUGAGAAAAAAAUUCAGGACGUUUAUUCUAUUAAGUUGUAUAAUUCAUGUUUCGGAUUUUAAUUGUAUUUAAAAUUCGGGGCGUGACAGUUUGGUAUCAGAGCGUAAGGUACAUAUUUGGUGAUAAUCAGUACUCCCCGAGUGAUGGCCCGUCUGCAGCGGAUCCCCAUCAUAUACUCUUCGGUACUGGUAUAAUCAUUGGGUAUGUCUUAGUAUGGGGUCUAGACAGCGUGUAUGUCAGUAGGACGGUAGAGUUGUCUUCUAAGUUCGUAUUAGAAUAAGUUUAGUUUCCGCAGGUUGUAAUCUUCGAGGAAUAGAGACCUCUAGAUUUAACUCUGAUGAGUCGGUGAGAUUUGUUUUAUGGAAGUGAGGUCCUUUUGGAUGUUGAA